rnacentral:lncRNA from 1 species
AUGCCUCACAUGCUGCUCUUCAUGGCCAGAAGGACAGUGAAACUCACAAAGCUUAAAAAGAGAAGGGGUGUUCCAGGUCUUCCAGAACAGCUGGGAAACCUGCCCCAAGAAAGAGUUCAGGUCCUGCUCAUUAUCUUCAAAAAGGGCUGAAGACUUCUGGUCUAUACACUGUUUUCUUGUCCAAAUGCCUUUUCUGCCUUGAGUGGUGUUGCUGUUCUCUGCAUCCUCCUCUGUACCUUGUUCUUCUAUAUGUUCCUGGAAACAUCCUAGAAGCAUAUUGAUGCGAUGAGGGAUUUCUCCUUGAACAAAGAUUUCUCAUUCAUAUAUAAAGUGAUUCCUCUCCAUUCUAAUGACUGCUUUCCCUCUUUCUUUGUGUCUGUCAUGCAUUUUACAUGAAUGAGUUUGAGUCUUAGGAUUUUCUGCCAUUUAUAACUGUUUUUAUUUUCUCUUAUGUUCAUUUGUACCUAUAAUAGUUCUUGGCAGAUUACCAUGCAUUUCUGAAAAAGGCGAUUUUCUCCUUUUUCUGCGGCUCUUUUUCAAGCUGUUUAUAUGUCUGAAUUUACUAGGGCUGAUCCAGAGUUUAGUAUUACUUUGAGUGUGUGAGUCAUAAUCAACAAUUUUAGGCUGCAGUUAAGAAUGGUCCAUUGAAUCCAUUAGCAAGGAACUGAUGUGAAAAGGAAGAUAGAAAUACUAUAAAAUUACUUCCGUAUGCAGGAAAAGAAGCUUAUUCCUGAAAAAAAGAAAAACCAAGCUAAUGGAUGCACAUUAGCAAACAGGUAAGUGCCCAGGAAAUACUGAAUAAAGAAUUUUAGACUUUCCUUGUGUUGUGGUUU